GCCAGGCACAGUGAUGUGCACCUGUAAUCCCAGCUACUUGGGAGGUGGAGAUGGGAGGAUCACUUGAGCCCAGGAGUUCAAGGCUGCCGUGAACUGUGAUCACACCACUACAGUCUAGCCUGGGCAACAGAGGGAGACCCUGUCUCAA
rnacentral:SRP_RNA from 1 species